UACAUGGGGUGCAAACGUUGCUCGGAAUUAUUGGGCGUAAAGCGCACGUAGGCGGUUCGUUAAGUCGGAUGUGAAAGCCCUCGGCUCAACUGAGGAAGUGCACCCGAAACUGGCGAGCUUGAGUACGAAAGAGGAUCGCGGAAUUCCCGGUGUAGAGGUGAAAUUCGCAGAUAUCGGGAGGAACACCGGUGGCGAAGGCGGCGAUCUGGGCAGUGGCUGACGCUGAGGCGCGACAGCGUGGGGAGCAAACAGG
rnacentral:rRNA from 1 species